AUGGCGCUCCUCCUGUCCCCCACCGUCUCCUUCCUCGCCCCCUCCCCCUCCUCCGCUCCUCGUGCCCGAGCUCUCUCCAGCUCCACCGCCACCGCCACCGCCGCCAGCAAUAAUGCCUUCCCUUACCUCGCCUCGAGACUUCAGUGCAAGACUGGCGCCUCAGUCAGCCAUGUUUCUCUUGCCAAGAAGAUGCCCGUGGUUGUCCACGCUUCUGCAGAGGCUGGUCCAACUGAUGCGGCAGAGCAACCAGAGAAGCCAAAACCAGUGGCUUCGAUCGAGGACAUGCCGUUCGAGUCCAAGCAGCGGAUGAUCCUGGAGCAGAGGGCACGGAUGAAGGUGGCCAAGAAGCUGAGGCAGCGGCGCAAGCGGCUCGUCCAAAAGAGGCGGCUGAGGAAGAAGGGCAGGUGGCCACCGUCCAAGAUGAAGAAGCUCAAGAACGUGUGA
rnacentral:rRNA from 1 species